rnacentral:rRNA from 1 species
UACGUAGGGUGCAGGCGUUAAUCGGAAUUACUGGGCGUAAAGCGUGCGCAGGCGGUUUCUUAAGUCAGAUGUGAAAGCCCCGGGCUUAACCUGGGAACUGCGUUUGAAACUGGGAGACUUGAGUGUGGCAGAGGGGGGUGGAAUUCCACGUGUAGCAGUGAAAUGCGUAGAUAUCAGGAGGAACACCCGUGGCGAAAGCGGCUCUCUGGGACGGUACUGACGCUGAGACGCGAAAGCGUGGGGAGCAAACAGG